UGCAGUGAUGUCCAUUCUUCGGAACAAAAUUAUUUUUUUUCAUUUUUACCAUAGACCUUACACUAUUGUGUACAUUUUGUUAACACUAAUAACAAUAUUGAUAAUAUUGGCGCGUGAAAAACAGCUACUGCUGCGAGUUUUACAUUCAUUUUCUCAUUAAGUUUAAAACAGAAAAUAUGGAAAUGAGGAAACAAAAUGUUAUAGUUACAAAUUUCAGAAUUUAUUCAGCCAAGUCUUAAACACAAAAAGAACAUUUUUGCUUUACCAUUGUUAAAUGUCUUUCUGCUCUUCUGGGUGUGCAAAAAUGAUCAACAUUUAUAUUACCAAUAUUGUGGGCAUUAAAGAAUUUACGUUUUUUUGUUAAGUUUGGAGGAGAAGACAAAAUAGGGCUACGUUUCAGUGGUGAACUUUCAUUAUCAAAUAAUUUUUUUCGAGCAGGAGUUCUGAAACAAAUUAUUAAGUGAGCUAGAAGCUGGACUAUCAUAUACUAAUACAGUUUGAGAACUUUGGGUACUUGAACCAGGAACUGAAUGCUCAUCAAAUUGACUAAAAAAAAAAAAAAUAGCAAUUUGGUGAAAUACUUAAUUAAAUAGAU